rnacentral:ncRNA from 1 species
UUAAAAACAAUGAACGGAAGAGUAGAGCAAGGAAUCAUUUCAGAGAGCUUUAAGUGGUGAGAUUAGAGCAUGUACCUUGUUUGAAACACAUCUGCGAGUUUACUUCUUGAGCAAGUUAGAGAAGUACGGGUGAUCGUUAUCUCAUAGAGUUGUUAUUUAUAACUUGUUGAGCUGAUAGUUGUGAGAUUAUCAGAAACAUGAGGUGGAACCACGUUGAUGCGUCCUCUUG